rnacentral:rRNA from 1 species
UACGAAGGGGGCUAGCGUUGCUCGGAAUCACUGGGCGUAAAGCGCACGUAGGCGGCUUUCUAAGUCAGAGGUGAAAUCCCGGAGCUCAACUCCGGAACUGCCUUUGAUACUGGAAAGCUUGAGUUCGGGAGAGGUGAGUGGAACUGCGAGUGUAGAGGUGAAAUUCGUAGAUAUUCGCAAGAACACCAGUGGCGAAGGCGGCUCACUGGCCCGAUACUGACGCUGAGGUGCGAAAGCGUGGGGAGCAAACAGG